UCAGCUCUGUGAAGCACGUCAGCCCAUUUCUAACUUGAGCCACAUGAUUUAUCCCCCUGCCCAGCUUUGGUUGGGUGACUCAUGGAUUUCUAAGUUGGUCACGUCCUUCAGGAUGCUGCUGCAUUUAAUGGAGCCUCUCCUUCCCUCCAGCUCAAGGAUGAGGGAUCAGAGCUGAUGUCAAGCAAACAACUGGUCCUCCAGCAUUUCGCCAUCCUGCCUCCUGCCGAAGCUCAUGUCAACAUGUUCUGCUCUGGAAGCUGCAUUGUGGUUUUGUUUGACAAGGAGUACAGAAGCAUGCUGAAUACUUCAUGAAGGAAAUAACUGAAAGGAGGAGGAGGAGGGGCAGAUUAAAAAUGAAAUGUGCGCUGUUACCUGUGUGGCAGCAACUUAGGGCUGGUGGGCCCUUCUGACUUUGGAUGCUCUGUAUGGUCCAGCAGCCAUAUUGGGUGGAGCUGCGUGAAGACAUGGGAAUGCACAGAACUCCUCAUCUCCUGCUGCCACUGCUUCGGCACGUUUCCAGCCACAGACAGAAAAGACCAAGCUCACUGCACCAAGCAAAUGAGAAGAAAAAGAUUAAUAGCAUCACUCUCCAGGAAAAACUUCAUCUUCCUGUCCUCAUCUUGCCCUAUGGAGCAUGUUAUCAACUCAAGAAACUCCCAAUAGGAGAGAAAGCAAGUUCACACCCAGCUCUCUGCAGCCCCAGGCUGGAAGAUAGCUCUGCUUAGAGAAUCACUGAAAAGGCAGCAGAAAUAAAUUUCCCUCCCUGAGCUUUUCACAGCACAAAAGCUAUGCUUAAACAUGCUAGGAAGUGGCAUUUUGCAAAAAAAAGUUCAUUUUAAUAUCAGCUUGUUUAAAAAUCGAUCUGAAUGCUUUCUUAUUUUGUUCUUAAGAAUAAAGAGAGAGGAGCAAGAUGGGACACCCCAAAAUCAUUUUCCAUAGGCACAUCUCAUCUGUUUUCUGGAUUUUGGAAGCUGGAAAAUUUUUAAUCUCAUUUCUUUUUUUCACAAGGUGGCCUCACCUGUGCAGUGAGGGCUGAUCUGUCCCACUGCAGAAUGGCUCUGCUCUGGUGCUUUGGAUUUGAAUUCAAGUUUCCAAAGAGGGAAAUGGUAGCAAUAGGGCAGACAAGGCUCACAAUGUUGUCCUCCAAACAAUCAGGCUCUCCUUCUGUUUGCGAACACGCAAAAAUACUAUAGAUGCUGCAGAUGUAAUGUAAAUGCACUUACUGAAGUAUUUUUUUUUUUUUCUCUGAGUCCUAUUAAAAAGAAGAAAUGAGAAAGGCAAAACCAGCUGAAUCCUCUAUUUGUCUGCUCUCAGCGUGGGCAAUGCAGAAUGGCCCUGAAGCACUUAGGGGAAGGAGGAGAAGCAGCAGACAGAUGUAUUUUCCAGCUCUUUCUGCAACCAGACAAAAGCUUUCAUUAAGGACUGCCAUUUGGGCAGCUUCCCUGUGCUCACUGCUUAAUAAAAAGGCUGCCUGUGGCAUGGAGAGGCUAAGCUGGGGUCACGGGGCAGCUUGUGGGCAUAUGGUAGAGUCCAUCCCAAG